CGAAGGAUCCAAGCGUUGUCCGGAUUUACUGGGUUUAAAGGGAGCGUAGGCGGACUUUUAAGUCAGUGGUGAAAGCUUGCAGCUUAACUGUAAAAUUGCCAUUGAAACUGAAAGUCUCGAGUAUGGUUGAGGUGACUGGAAUAUAUCAUGUAGCGGUGAAAUGCUUAGAUAUGAUAUAGAACACCAAUUGCGAAGGCAGGUCACUAAACCAUAACUGACGCUGAGGCUCGAAAGCGUGGGGAUCAAACAGGAUUAGAUACCCUGGUAGUCCACGCCCUAAACGUUGAAUACUCGAUCUUAGCGAUAUACAGUUAGGAUCCAAGCGAAAGCGUUAAGUAUUCCACCUGGGAAGUACGAUCGCAAGAUUG
rnacentral:rRNA from 1 species